UAAGUCGACCGCCUGGGGAGUACGGCCGCAAGGUUAAAACUCAAAUGAAUUGACGGGGGCCCGCACAAGCGGUGGAGCAUGUGGUUUAAUUCGAUGCAACGCGAAGAACCUUACCUGGUCUUGACAUCCACGGAAGUUUUCAGAGAUGAGAAUGUGCCUUCGGGAACCGUGAGACAGGUGCUGCAUGGCUGUCGUCAGCUCGUGUUGUGAAAUGUUGGGUUAAGUCCCGCAACGAGCGCAACCCUUAUCCUUUGUUGCCAGCGGUCCGGCCGGGAACUCAAAGGAGACUGCCAGUGAUAAACUGGAGGAAGGUGGGGAUGACGUCAAGUCAUCAUGGCCCUUACG
rnacentral:rRNA from 1 species